CUUGUUUGUUUUUUAUUUUUGUAAGAAACAGUAAGGUUUUUAUACUCUAGUAAGAUACAUUCAAAGCCUUAUCACCUGGUUUUUAUAUUUAGUUAUUUGGGUACAUUAAGAGGUCUAAUUUGCUCAUUAAAUUACAGUAUGAGUUUAGUUUUGGAAGGACUACCGCAUUUAUUUGACAGAAUGAUCCUGAUUUUAUUGUCUUACUUGGUGAGAAGGAAGAUGUAUGGCCACUUUAUAUAUACACAGCCGGGUUUAGUACAUAAAGAAAAAUCCACAGCUUUAUAGAACCUCUAAAAUUUUAGAUGCUUAUCGUUUCAGCUGAGGGAAAAAAAUGUUAACCUGGAAUUUUUUUUUUUUCUUUCUAGCAAAUCUAAGGCUGUUCAGCAACUCUAUAACUGUAAAUACCUACCUUUGGGGUUGCUUGGGGAAUUGGUAGAAAUCAUAUGGAAAAAUCUAGCUUGGAAGUGACCUCUAGAUUUCCUUUCCCAGCUGCUGGAGGAAGAAUGUAUUUGGGAAGCAGUGUAUUUAAGCUUCAGGAGAUCAGGGUGUGGGUACUGGCCAAGAUGCUGUUGGUUGCGACUUGAUGAGGUGACUUAUUUGUGGAGUGGGAGCGACAACUGUGUUGGAAGCUAGGUGAUGUCUGCCCGAAGCACUGUGCUAUAAUGGUGGACACAUGUGCAAGAAGAUUAACGGGAAACCAGGCUUAACAGACUGUUGAAGUGCUAAAGAGCGAACUCAAAGACCUUGUCCAUCUGCAUUGACCUUCGGGUUGAAACUAGGUAGAGCCCAGUGCGCUACAUGCUAUUUGCCCUGGAGUGCUCCUCGGUCACACAGAAAUAUGAUUUUCUUUUCUGAUUUGAAUCAAAUCUUCAACAUGAAAUGUUAACAAAAACAUCUAGCCUAGGGUUUAAAAAUGUAUUCACCACAGAAAGACUUGGAAAUAUUUAAUGCUUCAAAUAAUUUUCUCUAGCCUCUGAGAUAUCUUGCACUAAAAAUGUCUUUCUGCUGGAGUAUUUUCUAAAAUAUUAGUUUCCACUUUUACUUUUUGCUCCCAGGACAACUAUUCCUCUGAACCAAAACAGCUCCUUUAUUUUAUUUUUUCCUUUUUUAUUUUUUUCUGGUUCUGAAAUAACCCAUCCUGAAGACAUAAACAACUUGCCUUGAUGGCUAGCCAAGACUCUGUCCUGCCCCGGACCUCCUCCUACUCUUUCAUUUCUUACCCCAAGGAGCAGUAAACAUGAAUCUUGACCCACCAAUGCAGCCUCAGAACGGAGAAGAGAUACACCACAGCUAAAGAGUAGGUACCAAUAAAAACAAUGCCUCAAUUCGAUGAUAUUAAAUAUGCUGGGAAGACAGUCUCCAAGAGAAAGGAUAAAUAACCUACAUAAUGAAGAAUUAGUUAGCAGUGUUAUGUAAAUAUUGUAGCAGCAUCAAUGAGGAGGUAAGCAGAAGUAUUUUAAGACACUAUAUUAUACAAUACACUGUGCACUGUUUCCUGGUGAUAAGGUUUUUAAAGCAUCUUUAUAAGCUCUUCUUCUCUGUUGUGACAGGAUUAUUUUUGCACCUUUGGAAAGCAACUGAAAAAGGAAGCUUGGAAAAAAUCCUGCCUAACAAAGCAGCCAUACUCAAGAUUUGUGCACCUGGAGUCAACCGCAGGCCAUGCCCAUCUCCCACUACUUAGAAGCAUCAAAUGCUCAAUUGGAAAAAAUGAGGAGGAAAAAAACAGCGAUAAAGAAAGAUGGGGAGAGCAAAAGAAGGAGUAAGAGAAAAACGGAGGGAGAAAGAAGGCAGCAAGGUUGGGGGCAUAGGAAGAAGGAAGCGGGAGACCUAAUCCAGUAUCUGGAUCUCCAUCUGUUCUGUUCAGGAAACUGUAUAAAUCUCCCAACUCCUUUUAUUUUCCUUAGACUAGUUGGAGUUGGGAUUCUGUCAUUUGAAAUUGAAAAUGUCCCAACUAAUAUACUGUUUAUUUAUUUAUUUAUUGCUGAGGAAGAUUAGCCCUGAGGUAACAUCUGUGCCAAUCUUCCUUGAUAUGUGGGUCACUACCACAGUAUGGCUGACAAAUGAUAUAGGUCCACACCUGGAAUCCAAACCCACCAACCGAGGCCGCCAAAGCAGAGCAUGCUGAACUUAACCACCAUGCCUUGGGGCUGGCCCCUAAUAUACUAUUUAAAGGGAUUUUUCCUUGGUACGAAAUGUGUCUACGUUUCUCCAACUUUCCAAGAUUUGGCAAUUAAUUUAAACUCUUAAGUGAACUGGUUGGCUUAACUUUAAGAUAUGUGCUUUUCAGAAAUUAAUUUCAACAGGUAAUAAUGUUGAUAGCAUCCCAAAUUUCACUCCUUUAAGGUCAUUAUUAUGGAAUUUUUGGAAUUGAACUAAUUUAAAUACAUAAAACCAAUGAUCUCUAUUCAAAUGGUUUCUAUGGCCUCCAACAUUCAUAUAAGGAUUUGUUUAUUUUAAUAUUGAACAUUGCAAAGAAUAAAUUAAAAACAAAAUGUGUUUAGGAUUCUAAAUAUAGCGUUAUUUAAAAAGCUAUCUACCCUAAAAAAAUCACCAACUAUCUAUCCUAUGUUACAGCUUAAUUUUAAUUUUUAUUAUUUAAAUGUGCUUCUAGCAGAUGAAACUAUACAUAUUUGUUUGGAAAUCAGGUAUUUUUUAAAAAUAGAUUUUACUUUUUAGAGCACUUUUAGGUUCACAGAAAAAUUGAGCAGAAGAUGCAGAGAUUUCCCGUAUACCCCCUGCCCCGACAUAUACCCAGCCUCCCUCACUAUCAAAAUCUUGCUCCAGAGGGGUACAUUUGCUGUGUUUGAUGAACCUACGUUGACACAUCAUUAUUACACAAAGUCCAUAGUUUACAUUAGAGUUCACUCUUGGUGUUGUACAUUCUAUGGGUUUGGGCAAAUGUAUAAUGACACAUAUUCUCCAUUAUAGAGUCCUACAGAGUAGUUUCAUUGCCCUAAAAGUCCUCUGUGCUCUGUCUAUUCCCCCCUCCCUUCCUUCCAAUCCCUGGCAACUAUUGAUCCUUUCACUGUCUCCACAGUUCUGCCUUUUCCAGAAUAUCAUAGAAUUGUAAUCAUAGAAUAGACAGCCUUUUCAGUUGGCUGAUUUCACUGGGUAAUAUGCAUUUAGGUUUCCUACAUAUCUUUUCAUGGCUUUAGUUCAUUUCUUUUUAGUGCAGAAUAAUAUUCUAUUGUCUGAAUGUAACACCGUUUAUUUACCCAUUCACUUACUGAAGGUCAUCUUGAUUAUUUCCAAGUUUUGGCAAUUAAGAAUAAAGCUGUUAUAAACAUUCAUGAGCAGCUUUUUGUGUGGACACGAAUUUUCAACUCUUCAGUAAAUACCAAGGAACACAACUGCUGGAUUGUGUGAUGAGGCCUGUGAUGAUCUGUGCACAAGAGUAUCUACCUCGGGAUGCCAAUCAUUUAACCAAUUCUUUCCCAGCUCCUUUGAAAAGUCUGCUUUAUCACAAACUUUAUUUGUAAAAAGAUUUGAGUUUCUACAGUGGCGCAUCAAUCUGUUUAUUGACUCCUAG
rnacentral:lncRNA from 1 species